GUCCAGGGAUGAGAAUCGAACCCACAGUGUUACGCUUACCGGGCAGAUGCCAUGUCCACUAGGCUACCCUAGU
rnacentral:tRNA from 1 species